ACAGCUCAAAUUUGAAAUCUGGCCCUUUCAGGGUCCGAGUUGUAAUUUGUAGAGGGUGCUUCGGCGUCGGCCGUGGUCUAAGUUCCUUGGAACAGGACGUCACAGAGGGUGAGAAUCCCGUACGUGGCCGCCGGCCUUCGCCAUGUGAAGCCCCUUCGACGAGUCGAGUUGUUUGGGAAUGCAGCUCUAAAUGGGAGAUAAAUUUCUUCUAAAGCUAAAUAUUGGCCAGAGACCGAUAGCGCACAAGUAGAGUGAUCGAAAGAUGAAAAGCACUUUGGAAAGAGAGUCAAAAAGCACGUGAAAUUGUUGAAAGGGAAGCGCUUGCAGCCAGACGUGCCCGCAGUUGCUCACCCGGGCUCUCGCCCGGGGCACUCUUCUGCGGGCAGGCCAGCAUCAGUUCGGGCGGUCGGAUAAAGGCCUCUGUCACGUACCACCCUCCGGGGUGGCCUUAUAGGGGAGGCGCAACACGGCCAGCCUGAACUGAGGACCGCGCAUCAGCUAGGAUGCUGGCGUAAUGGCUGUAAGCG
rnacentral:rRNA from 1 species